CCUACGGGUGACAGCAGUGAGGAAUAUUGGUCAAUGGGCGGAAGCCUGAACCAGCCAAGUCGCGUGAGGGAAUAAGGCCCUACGGGUCGUAAACCUCUUUUGCCGGGGAGCAAGGGCCGGGACGAGUCCCGGUCCGGAGAGUACCCGGAGAAAAAGCAUCGGCUAACUCCGUGCCAGCAGACGCGGUAAUACGGAGGAUUCGAGCGUUAUCCGGAUUUAUUGGGUUUAAAGGGUGCGUAGGCGGGCUUUUAAGUCCGGUAAAAAUUCGGGGCUCAACCCCGUCUGGCCGUUGAAACUGGGGGUCUUGAGUGGGCGAGAAGCAGGCGGAAUGCGUGGUGUAGCGGUGAAAUGCAUAGAGAUCACGCAGAACCCCGAUUGCGAAGGCAGCCUUCCGGCGCCCUACUGACGCUGAGGCACGAAAGUGCGGGGAUCGAACAGGAUUAGAUACCCUAGUAGUC
rnacentral:rRNA from 1 species